UAUAAAUGUUGUCAUGUUACCUUUGUCUAUUUACUAGUAAGUGUUAGUUUGGAAGUACUGCACAUACUUCUAUUGGCUUUUAAAUUAAGCAUGGUGCUUAGGUUAAACAGCCUUCCUUAAUCUGAUUAGACAUGGAGUCUAGUUCGGUUAUUGAACUAAAAACUGCUUAUGUAGACAUUGGUAUAUUUUUGUCGGACUAACCCCUGCAGAAAAACUUUCAAUAUCGAUUUGGGAAGUCCUGAGAUAAACUCACAUCAGAGACGAAGAGAGUGACAUAUGAAGUUUAACAAUUUGCAAAAGAAGAACAUAGCUCAUUCAUCAUAGAGAGAUGAUCCAUGGAGGGUGCCACAAACACGAUGCACAACCGCUAAGAAAGGAAAGCUUCCACAAGGUGAUAUUGUACCAUCACACUUCAAGUAAGGUAACACCUUAAGGUACUUGACUAUCACUUUUAUAAGCUUCUCCUUGGUCCUGGCAUUCAUAUAAAUAAAAGAGACAAACAUGUAUUGAUUUACAACUCUAGAUUAACCAACCCAACUGAUUCAACAUGUUUAGUCCUUUAAUCCUUGUUCUUAGUACUACCUCCAUGAUCCCACACUCCUAAUCAUAUGAGCUAAAAUGUUACACAUUCAAUCAUUGAGAGAUAUAAAGAAAAAGACAUAUACAUAGAUAGAUUAUCUUUCCAUAAGGUUGAGCGAUCUGAUCUGACAAAUGUUAUAAGUGCUACACUCAUGAACUUUUCAUCCAUCAACUUUGUCUUGCUCACUAUGCUUAGGGUUAGAGAAGAACAAAUACACUUUAGGUUCUGUUGGUGUUUUCCACCAACAGGACCCAUGCACUUGAUCUCUGCCUUGUCUCUAUGAGCAGGUACACUUUGAGCAAAACACGCAGGAGUUUUAUAACUCUCAGACUCUACCAUGUGAAGGACCUCGAUCUACGAGCACAAACACACUGAGCAGGAUACUGCCAACGCCGCACUUCGAACUGCUGGGCAAACGAAAAACAUGGGUGACACCGUAUCAAGAGGUGCAGACGUCAAGGUCCGCACCAUAAUCAAAUGACACACCUGAAGAAUGAACACGGUGAGAAGUCUUGUUAAGAAGACUUAAAACAUUGAACCCUUGCCAAAAGGUAAGAUCAGUAGUUAUCCAUAUUUAUCCUUUCUGCAUUCCCUUUUCCCUUUAAUUAUUUACUUUCCUUAAAUAGAUUAUUAGUUAAUCAUGCUAUCUUGAAAAGAAAAUAAAAAUGUUAAAAAAAUACUAAGCCCCAUGUGAGUAUACGAGUGGCAUAAAACCCAUAAGUACCUUCACUGUGGUGGCAUAAAAAUAAAAUAAAUAUUUCUUUUCUGCUUUAUAAAAUAAAAAUAUAAAAACAGGGAGUAAUAUUUAUUGAGGAAGCUCAACAUGAUGAAGGCUAGAUAUUUAUGCUAACACUUAAUUAGUUCCACAAGCUUUGUUGUCUAUUUGAGCUCCACAGAAUUUAAGAAUCAAGAAGACUAGCAGACGGAGGACAUUCUAAUCGCUGUCAGAAUGCUGCUGACUUUCAAAUACACCUCUGCCACCUGCUAGCUACAUCAAGAGAAAUUACGUCAAAAUUCAGCUUGGGGGAGAGCACCCCCAUUUAUCUCGCUAAGUAUUUCUACCUAUCUUUAUACUUAUAUUAUAUUAGAAUAUUAAAAUACAUAAACUAUGAAAAACCAAAUAAAGAUUUUGUGCUUAUAUAUAUAUCUUUUGCUUAGUGUGUUUAAUAAAUAAAGCGGCUAUGCUAAUCUGAAUCUUAAUAAUAAAACUCUAGCAUGGAUAUGAUGAAUAGUUGCUCUGCCUAAUUUGCAAAUUUGAAGUUCUCUCUCAAGUUUAGACAUAACUGUUAUAAUUUAAAGCUUGCCCUAGAUAUAAACUUGUGGGAUAAAAACUUGAUCUGAAAUCUAAGUUGUUAACGGAUAUGAUAUGGGAAGGUUGAGCUGCUGUUUUUCUGUUCCUGGAGAUGCUAGAAUUCUGGAGAAUUUUAUCUUUGAAAAAUCUUUAAAAUAUUACAUGAUGAGUUCCUGUAUGAUGAAAGUUUAAAUUCCUACCACAACCAUAUAUAUACAUGCUUGCUAGACUUUGAGCCACACAUUUAUUAUUUACUGCUUAUGAGCAUUGAGUGUGGUCAAGCUAUGUAGACCCUUAGGAGCUUGUCAUGUGAUUAAAUCAAGAUUCACUUGCACGUUCACUCAUAUAUGCUACUUCUACACCGGAAGUACCAUCCACAUAUAUGCAUCCAUGACCAUCUCUAGAACCACCCAAAAAUAUUUUACUCCUAAUUCGGGAGAGAAUAGCCAAAAAUAUUUCUGUUUUCCCUUGUGAAAUAAAUGCUCAAGUUAUCUUGCUACUACCACUUGCUAUAUUAUCUCAAGAGAUGAGUGCUCUAAAAAAAGAAAAAAAAAUAUACGAGGAAAUAAAAAGGGGCAAGUGCCCGGAACCUCGAAAAAAAAGAGAGAGUGAGACGAGAGGUAAAAAUGGACAAAUGUCCGACAGUAGAAUUAGGGGUACAUGAUACCCACCUGAGAGAAAAGAAAAAGAAAAUAUAGAGCAUCUCAUUCCUCUCAAAAACCUUCAAAGUGCAAGAAAGGUAUGUAUCCCCUCAAAAGAGCAAAAGUAGAAUUAGACUUUCACCAUUGUUAUCACCAUCAUCACCAUACACCAUUCAUUCACCACACAUGCACAUCUUGAUUUGACUUAUUGACUUGUUUCUCUGGAUCCAUGGUUUGACUAUACAAUAAAUGUCUUGUAAGUAUGUAUACUUUAUCUCCCACCUAUGAGCUCCAGAUAUUAAAGCCUUAUUAGAGUAGGGUGAGAGAGAAGGCAAUGUCACUAUGCCUUAUACCACAAAUACCACAUAUCUUGAGAGAAGGCAUAUACCAUCACUGCCUUGGUAAGGAUCCAGAAAUACCACAAAAGAGAGAUUUAGAGAGUCAUACAAGGAAUCUCUGAGUUUUAUUUGAAAAUCUGCAAAAACUCCAGAGCUAUAGCUGAUCAAGAAUAAGAGACAUGGCACUUGGCUAGACUGUUCUAUCUUUUAACUACUCAAGACAGAAGUGACCGUUACAAGUCCCAUGGUGAAAGGUAAAGUAAGUAAGUUUUAGUUCUUGACAGUUUACUCUAACUCAGAGAUGAGAUCUUAUUUAAAAUCAUGUGUACCGUCAAAUUUUUAAGAUAUUGCAACAACUUCUUAUCCAUUGCUGAGUCUAUCCUUGCUCAGGGACGAGCAAGAGGUAAGCUUGGGGGAGUUUGUUGACGGUACUUAAGUAUCAAAUUUAAUUAUCAAAUAAACAAAGAAAAGGAUCCAAAUGAAAUCAACAUCUAGACUUAGGAUUUUAUCUGACAGAAUUCCAUGAGUUUUGGUGUUUGUCUAUUUCUGCAGGGGGUUAUCAGGAAAUAUGGAAGAAAGGCCCACACGUUGCGAUUACAUAGAGAUAUUAACGUGCCGUGCAAUUAUCUUACAUCUAGAAGACUCCAGAAGCCACGAGACCGAAGCGGAGGCGAAACGGGGCCAGAGGCAGGGCGCCCGCCCUCCUUUCCUGGGCGCCCACCCUCUGUUGGAGCCCAAUCAGGACUCUGUUUCUCGGGAGAUCUCCACCGACCUAAAGGAUCAAGGAUAACCGUUCAAUCUAUGUCGGUUUGAUCUGACGGCCCAGGUUCCCUUGAAGGGACUAUAAAACCAGACCCCCUGGCCCCUGGAGGAGGCACCACUUGAUCAUUAUUCAUUAUUCAUAGACAGAGCAAAAGCUAGGGUUUAGAGAUGAGAGCUCUCCUCUCUUCUCUAAACUAGAGUAGAUCUAGAUAGU
rnacentral:lncRNA from 1 species